UAGGGAAUCUUCGGCAAUGGACGAAAGUCUGACCGAGCAACCCCGCGUGAGUGAAGAAGGUUUUCGGAUCGUAAAACUCUGUUGUUAGAGAAGAACAAGGACGUCAGUAACUGAACGUCCCCUGACGGUAUCUAACCAGAAAGCCACGGCUAACUACGUGCCAGCAGCCGCGGUAAUACGUAGGUGGCAAGCGUUGUCCGGAUUUAUUGGGCGUAAAGCGAGCGCAGGCGGUUUCUUAAGGCUGAUGUGAAAGCCCCCGGCUCAACCGGGGAAGGUCAUUGGGAACUGGGAGACUUGAGUGCAGAAGGGGAGAGUGGAAUUCCAAGUGUAGGGGUGAAAUGCGUAGAUAAAGGGGGGAACACCAGUGGCGAAGGCGGCUCUCUGGUCUGUAGCUGACGCUGAGGCUCGAAAGCGUGGGGAGCAAACAGG
rnacentral:rRNA from 1 species